rnacentral:tRNA from 1 species
UGGGGAGUCGACAAGUGGUAAGUCAGCGGUCUUUGGAACCGCCAUUCGGAGGUUCGAAUCCUCCCUCCCCAGUCA